GCGAGCGUUGUCCGGAAUCAUUGGGCGUAAAGCGCGCGUAGGUGGCUUCGUAAGUCCGUUGUGAAAGUCAAAGGCUCAACCUUUGAAAGCCGAUGGAUACUGCGGAGCUAGAGUACGGAAGAGGCGAGUGGAAUUCCUGGUGUAGCGGUGGAAUGCGCAGAUAUCAGGAGGAACACCAAUAGCGAAGGCAGCUCGCUGGGACGUUACUGACACUGAGGCGCGAAAGCGUGGGGAGCGAACAGG
rnacentral:rRNA from 1 species